rnacentral:rRNA from 1 species
CCUACGGGAGGCAGCAGUCGAGAAUCAUUCACAAUGGGGGAAACCCUGAUGGUGCGACGCCGCGUGGGGGAAUGAAGGUCUUCGGAUUGUAAACCCCUGUCAUGUGGGAGCAAAUUAAAAAGAUAGUACCACAAGAGGAAGAGACGGCUAACUCUGUGCCAGCAGCCGCGGUAAUACAGAGGUCUCAAGCGUUGUUCGGAAUCACUGGGCGUAAAGCGUGCGUAGGCUGUUUCGUAAGUCGUGUGUGAAAGGCCCGGGCUCAACCCGAGGACGGCACAUGAUACUGGGAGACUAGAGUAAUGGAGGGGGAACCGGAAUUCUCGGUGUAGCAGUGAAAUGCGUAGAUAUCGAGAGGAACACUCGUGGCGAAGGCGGGUUCCUGGACAUUAACUGACGCUGAGGCACGAAGGCCAGGGGAGCGAAAGGGAUUAGAUACCCCAGUAGUC